GCUUCCUGUUUCAAGGGCGGAGUUUUUGUUGGAGGCGACGGAAAAGUUCGGACACAGCAGUGAUGGCUCCACGUGCGGGAACUUAACACCGUGACCUGCACACUUCCCGACGGUUAAAAUGACAGCUACACCCUGCUGUCUGUUCCACCACAGCUGAAAAGGACAAACAAGCCGGUUCUGGGGAGGCGCUUCCCCCAGCACCCCACCUCGUCUGGCGGGCUCUCCGUCUCCUUCAGAAGAAACUCUGCUUCUUCCCCAGGUCGCACUCCGGCUCCCCCUCCUCCAGAGCGAGGACACCGUGUCCUCACGCCAUCGCCGGCCGGCUAAUCAGCCUGAGGAGAAAGGAGAGGAAGCGCUGUCCUUUGACGAGAUGUGGGAAACCCCUCGGUCUGCACUCGGUGUGCCUGUGACCAGCACACAAAGAGCCCCGCCGGCCCCGCAGCCAAGUUUCCAACGAACGUCUCCCUGAACACUUUCAGCGGUCGUGUGUGUCUUCUGGUGAGGGCUGGAGCGCUCCUUCGCCAUCUUUCGAGAAGCUCUGAAAGCAUCGUGUUCUCUCGGGACGUUCCUGGCUGGCCUCCCUCCUGCGUGUCCCCCUCACCUGGGGUGGGGGUCAGGGCACCGUCCAGCCCCCCCCCCCAGGCUGUCGGGACGGGAGGAGGGGCCAGUUUCACCACAUCUUCUCUCCCUUUGAGGGUUUUGGAAAGUAGAGGGACCACAUCGUCACAGGGAGAGGGAAAGUGAAAGAGGGAAGCCACAGACCCACAGGGGCUCAAACCUGGCCUCUUCCUGGCCGUGUGGCCCCCGGGCGGGCCCUGACCUCUCUGGGCUCCACGCCGCCGUCCGGAAGUGGAGGUGGGCAAGCUGAAUUGGGUGAUUCCAGCCAAGCUCUCAGCAUGGCGCCUGCAGAGAGGCCUGUCGGGUCAUCGGUAAUUAUCAAGGUCUUGUCAUCACAGGGCCCGGCCUGAGGACCCUGACUGGGAGGGUGCCCCGACCUAGGCUCUGUCCCGAGGCCUCCCCUGGCCGUGGGCACAAGGGAGGGGGACACUGUUUGCUCUGUGGGCCCCGGGGACUCUCUGCCUCCUUCCCUCAAGUCCUCCUUGCUCCAGGUGGGGCGCGGGAGGAGUUCCUUGAGAGUCUCUGUCCCUUCGUGUCCUCCAAGUGGCCAUGCGGCUGUGCAUGCAGUAGGCGCUGGCAGAUGUGCGGGGGAUUCACUAGGGAGGGAGGUGUUUGCGACCUGACACCUCAGGCUGAGCUGUCAGCACUUGAUUUUGAGACCGGCUGAGCACUGGGGACCCAGGACGCCGGGUGGGGGGUCUGGAGUCCCACACUGGCCCCUCGCCUCCUCCCCAGCCUUCCAGAAGGCCUGAGCGCGGGUCCAGUCUCACCCGGGGUGGACCCCAGCAGGCCCCCAGCUCCGCAUGCUAAGGAGGGACCCUCGGCUGCAGGAGCCGGGAACUGCUGGCCGCUGUGGCCAGGCCCUCCCCGAACACACGUCAGGGGUGUGAAGGCUCCAGCCUCGGGGUUGGGUGGGGGUCUCAGCAGAUAAAAGUACCGGACACCAGUCAGUCUGGAAUUUCAGAUAAACAACAGGCAAACUUCCAGCGGAAGUGAGUCCUGUGCCACGUGGGCUGGGUGCACGUGGGGCGGGGUCCCAACUCCUGCGACCGGGGGCUAACUUUCUGCGAUUUUUAAAGAAAAGUCUUUAACGAACCCGUACACCCAGAUCCCGUGCCCACCCGAAAGACAGGCGCACCCCUCGGAUCAGAUUGUCAAGGUGGCUUCCCUGGGGAGCAGCGGGACGCCUUCUCGGCUUUUAAUGAAAAUACCUGUUUUAUAAUUUAACUGACAGCAAAAAAAUGGAAAAUACCAGUGGCUUAGGUAUGCGCUUAAAAAAGGCUUUGAAAAUUGAAGUGCCUCUCAUUUAAAUAAUCAUAGUACAUUUUCAACAAAUAAGUUUGAAGAUCCAAAUAGGGCCUGGUUCCCUCUUUGGAAGGUAGCCUCCUUGAGGACUGGACCCGAGUUUUAUUUUGCCUUGUGUUUCGCCUUUGCUGCAGUCACGGUGCCUCUGGGUGAUGGAGAAUGUAGACCAGUGCACAGAGAGGCGGCCCCUCUCCCCGUCCUGAGACCCUGGCUGGUGGUGGUUGUCGCCAAGUCACAGCGGGCAGGUUUCGCUGCCAGAGACUUGGGGAGUUAUGACCUCAGGUCACAUGCUAUGUGUAUGAAGUAAUUUGCACAUGUGUGUCGGUGUGCAUAUACGCAUACACAGCCACACACACAAAUUACAUAAUUUAUACAUCGUGCAAUUAUACACAUACAUUUAUAUAUAAAAGAUGAGCACACACGACUGAAAACACAUGCCUAGCGUUAUCUCUAAACUAUGGGACGUGAGAUUCUCAUUUUAAAAAUGUCUCUAUUUUCUGCGCUGAGCAUGCAUCAUCUUUAUGAUUUAUAAUUUUACACAUUUUAUAAUUUUUGUAAGUGUAUCAUUCCGUAACGUGUUACAGUUUCUGUUAAACGUGUAGGUGGGAGAAUGGCGUUCUCCGCACUGAGGCUGGUGGGCCCACCUCAGCAGGGGGCCGGGCAGGAGCGGGCGCUGGGCCCCUGGCGGCCCUGGGGGUGUCCUGCAGUGUCACCAGCGGGGAGACUGCCCACCAGGUGUCUCCCGGGGCCACCUUGGCUCGCAGACAAGUCAGAGCCUCCCCACAGCCGCCCUUACACAGCGACUGCUGGGCGCCCCAUCCGGGGCGGUCCGCCCCGGGAAAUCCAGGAGGCGUCAGUUCAGGCCGCACUCGUGUGUCCACGGAAGAGGCCUGAGUCCCAGAGUUGCCUGUAACCUGUGAGCCCUGACUUCCCUGCCAUCUCUGACUCUCUCUGUCAGCCAGCAUCUCUCUUCUGCGCAGGCGGACCUGGUCCCGCCAGACGACUAGACCCAGCUGAGUCUGGUGUCGGUGUGCCUCCGAGUCCCCUCCCCAUGCUGCCCUAUUUCCAGGGGGUCACAGCAGGGUAUGGGGCCUGGGGGUAGCGCUGCCAGAUAAGACUGUAAACAUAAUACAUAAACAUAGUGGAGACGAUAAAAAGCACACAGUACGGGGUGCACUUCUACUGAAGGACUGCGUGCUGCUUAUCUGGAAUUCAGAUUGAACUGGCAACCCAGCUUCUCCCCCUGCUGCUCCCAGCCCCGCUCCCCGGGGGUCUGAGGGUUUGCUCGGGCUCAGCCAUCACUGAGGGAUCUCCCUUCGUACUUCCUGCUGUGAGAGCCCCUGUCCUGGGACCUCAGCCUGGGAGGCUGGAUGGCCGCGGCCGGCUCUGGCGAGCCCUUGCCUCUCAGGUCCCUAGGCUGCUCCUCCUGCCCAACCCCAGUCACUGCCCAGAGACUCGGGGGCCUAGGGCGCAACACCACGUGCAGACUGCACGGCGUCGGGCCUCCAGGUCCCCCUCCGACACUCUGGGGACCACUGGGCAGCUGGAGACUGUCCCGGAGCUGACACGCACCCCGGGGCUCCCGGAGGCCACGUGGAUGGUGCAGGGACCCCAUCCAUCCAUGAUCCGCUGGGACAGUCUGGGGCUCUGAUGGAGGCUCUUGUCCCGGGUGCCCUGGGGCUGGGAGGAGCUGGGGUGGUGGGCCCCACCGACCACAGGAGCGCAGGGCUCGGCGCGGGUCCAGCCCUGCCUGGUGUUCAGAAACCCCCCCCCAAGACAGGUUUCUCUUCCCCCUCCUCUGUUCCCGUCACUUAAAGCCCAUCCAAGCGCUGAGCUCAGCUCUCACCGUGAGGAGGGAGAUGCUGACAGGCAAAAGCCUCCGACCACACGCAUCUCUGUGCCUCUUUUGGGGGGGGUAUUGAUUUGAGUUUGGGCCAAUUCUUCGUUUUAAUCAUGGCCAUCGACCUCAACGGACCUGGCCACGAAAGUAGGAGCAAUGGCCACUCUUUCUCUGCAGAGAGAGACUCGUGAGGGUUCGCCCCAGAAAUCGUCUCGAUCACCGCUCCUCCAGGAAUCGUUGCCCCCAAAGUCACCCAAAAUCAAAUGGAUCGCUAUUAACACGCAAACGGCCUGCCGCCCGGAGCCCGCCGCCGGCCCGGGCCCGGCCCCGUCUGCUGCUGGGCAGCGGGGCCCUCGUUCCAUCACGGCCCAAGAAUAUCGGUGAUGAAUUUGCAAAUGGUCCUGGAUUAUGACAGAGCGUUCUCUCUCUUCCUUAUUUAUCCCUCCUCCGAGCACCUCGAUCAGAGGCCACAGUGACAAAUGCAUGAAUAAAAGGCAGAGACAA